CUGGCCCUCAGGGACCCAAGAACUGUCCUAGAGUGAGGAAGGGGCUGGUUCCAAGACACACCUUCCUCCUGCUUCUUCCAGACUGCGGAUCUGCGGGACGGAGCACACCAGGAAGCAGGAACAGGGCUGUGGUUUUCCCAGGUCAUCAUGUGCCCUGCCCUUUACCCAACCUGCUCCGGAGGAAAACGCUGAAAGCCCCUCUAUCAGUCGUACCAAGGUCUCCAUCGUGCAGGUUCAGCCCCUGUGGGAGGAAGGAGAGAUUGGCGAAGUGCCUACUGUGCAUCAGGCACCUAACUCAAGACCUGCAGAGGUGGGUGACAUUAUUCCUGUACUACAAAUAGGGAAGCCAAGGCCCAGAGGUUGCAUUACAGAGCUGACGUUUACAGAGCAGGCCAGGAUGGCCUCCCAAGGUUCCAGAGUUUGCAACCUGUUAGAGAAAACAUCAAGGUAAGAGAACAAUACUGUCUAGUUUUGGACUUCCUGCUGAGCGGGGCAUGGAGAGGGCACUGAGACGGGAUGCUCGGAGGGACAGCAACUGGAUAAAACAGUGUGAACCCUGAGGCCAGGGGACAGGUCAGCAUUGUCAGUGAUGGCUCUGAGGCCUAGACCUGGUGUCGCAAUCUGUUUUCUGUUGCUUCAGGAGAGUAUGU